CAGACCCUCUCCUCAGACCAGACCCCUCAGACCAGACCCCCCAGACCAGACCCCCCAGACCAGACCCUCUCCUCAGACCAGACCCUCACAGCUUGUUCCUCACAGAGAGAAAACUAACUUGAGAUCUCUUCUGCUUCUUCCUGCUCACUCACUGUCUCACUCUCUCUCUGUCUCACUCUCUCGCUGUCUCACUCUCUCGCUGACGCACUCUCUCUCUGUCUCACUCUCUCUCUGUCUCACUCUCUCUCUGUCUCACUCUCUCGCUGACGCACUCUCUCUCUGUCUCACUCUCUCUCUGUCUCACUCUCUCUCUGUCUCACUCUCUCUCUGUCUCUCUGUCUCUCGCUCUCUAUCUCUCCUCUCUCGGUCGUUCAGGAGGUGGCUAAUGACACCACUACCUUAUAAGGGGGAUGUUACCAUACUCUAUCUCUCUCUGUACCUGACUCUAAGGUGUGUGGUUGUGUGUUUUGUGAUGUGUGAUGUGUGUGUGUGUGUGUGUGUGUGUGUGUGUGUGUGUGUGUGUGUGUGUGUGUGUGUGUGUGUGUGUGUGUGUGUGUGUGUGUGUGUGUGUGUGUGUGUGUGUGAUGUGUAUUGUGCGCGAGCAGUGCAUUCAUAACAUUCGUUUUCACAGAAAUCACGUGCCCGCGCUGAGAGAGUCGUUUCCCGGGUUUUUUCCACUGCGAGUCAACGGUGUCGCAGCGAAGAGACUUUCUUUGACUUCCUUUCACCUGAUUAACUUGUUUUAGAAACACUUUAACCUCCGUUUCUUCCCUUACAUUUAAACUUUUACAACUUUAUACCGUAUGGACGCAAUAUAAUCCCGGAGUAGAUACGAUAAGGUCUCUAGUCUACUAUGGAUGAGGAGAGAGAGGAGGGGGGUACUACCUCUAAGACCACUCUGUCUGGGGAACAUGGCCGCCGGAGCAAAGCUAAGAGCCCAGAGCAGCAGCAGAGAGCAGACUCCCCUGGACCCAGCUGUGUCUCCAUGAUGAGUGACAGCUCUAUGGAACAUCCUUUUAACUUUAAAGAUGGAAAUCAGUCUAUUGAGAAAAGAGUCCAGCAGCAGAGAGCAGACUCCCCUGGACCCAGCUGUGUCUCCAUGAAGAGUGACUGGUCUAUGGGUCAUCCUGUUACCUUUAAAGAUGGAAAUCAGUCUAUUGAGAAGAGGUGAGGAUUCAUCACACAUUAUAAAGGUACCGCUUCCAUCAAACAUCCAUAAAUCCUAGUUCUUAUUUUUCUCGACGAGUCCAGCAGGAGUGAGAAGGCUCUUGUUAUCAGACUUUACUGUGUGUGUGUGUGUGUGUGUGUGUGUGUGUGUGUGUGUGUGUGUGUGUGUGUGUG